AUGAAGCAAAGGAUGGUCAUCAGGGUGAGCAUGCCUUGCGACAAGUGCAGGUCCAAAGCCAUGGAGUUGGCCGCCAAGACAACCGGGGUGAUCUCGAUAAAGAUAGCCGGUGAUUAUACCAACCAACUUGAGGUGGUCGGUGAUGGCAUCGAUGUGGUCUGCCUCGUCAACCGCCUCCACAAGAAGCUUGGACGCGUCGUGAUUCUGGAGGUGGAGGAAGUGAAAGAUAAGAAACCAGAUCCAGAUGAGAAGAAGCCCGAGAAGUGUGAGAAGAAGUCGCAUGUGCCUGUCCCACAGUGUUAUCCCGGUUGCUACCACUAUCACUGCCCGUCGAGGCCACAAGUGGUCGUCUAUGAGGAGUCUGGCGCUUGCUCCAUCAUGUAA
rnacentral:rRNA from 1 species